rnacentral:lncRNA from 1 species
CUACCACAUACAUUUUCAUAACAAUAAUUCGCUUAACGUAACAAAAACGAGUACUGCAUCAAUUAUAUUUUGAACUUACAACAUUUACGUGGGCACCAUGGAAGCUCAAUUUCUAAAAGACGGGGUUUUAGCCAUAGAUACCUCAAAUUCGCCCCUUAAUGAUACUACAAUGAUCCAAUACACUUAAGCAACUUCAAUCUACAAUACAACAUUCAAUAGGGUCAAUAUUAGUAAUAAAUUCCAUAACUUAAGUCAUUUAGGCAUAUUAUCAAACACCUUGUAGGUAUAGAUAUUUACACCUCAUAACUAUAGUAUUGGUUCAUCCAACUAUCACCAUUAAACAACAAUUUAUUCUGCCAUCAUUCCUAACCAAUUUAUAAUUUCCAGCAACAUAUGUGUGAUCAUCCAUUCACACCCAACAAACAAAUCAUAUCAAAUAAUCACCUUUCAAUCUCUACAAUAAUUUUGUAUUUAUAUUGGGAACUUAUUGUUUCCCAUCACUACACCAAGAAUUCCCACACUCAAUUCAUACUCAUAUUCCCAUAAUAUAUCCAUAUAUGUAAGUCUAAGGUAUAGGAUUUACCUUUUGGAAGAAAUCUUGCAAAACCCUCCUUUGAGUUAUUGACGGAAUUUCUUGAAAAUCUAAGUGUUUUAUGAGAAGAUUUUAUCAAUACUAGUGAUUGACAAGUGAAAUCACCAUGAAAACACACUUAAAAACUCACCUUAGGUGUGCAAUUGGAUGCCUUGGUCGAAUUGGGGGUGGAGAGGAUGCCCUAGGCUUGAGAAAUGACUCAAAUCCUCUCAUUUCCCGUCCUUAGGUGUAUUUAGAGGCCUGCUACUAGUGCGCCCACGCUAAGGCCGCGCUAGUGAGGCAGAAUACAUUGCAAUAUGCGCGGCCGCGCUAGUGCCCGUGCUAAUGAUACGUGCCUAGUAAAAUGGUCGUAACUUUCUGUAUAUACAUCCAAAUGACAAACGGUUUGAUGCAUUGGAAACUAGACUCAAAAAAAGUUAAUUUUAUAGGUUGUGAAUCACACAACUCCUUAUAUAACUGGAGAUAUGAUUGUCCAAAAUGAGGUCUUGUGCAUACUCAUUUACAACUUUCGUCCAGUAUGAAAUUUUUCACCUUGGCUUAGACUUAGGCCGCUCCUUAGACCCCAAAUCACUUAUAAUAUGAAUUAUACCCUUAUUAAUAUAUCCAAUUGAUAUUCAUUAUAUCAUGACUCCACACUUGCACACAAAACAAAAUAAUUAGCCUACCUUGGCUCCAAGAAAUCUUAAAUUACUUAGCAAAAUUUUCUAGGGCUUUACAAAGGGUCUAGGUGUGAGCACUACCCGGGAUCCUUGAGGUCCUUAGGGAACUUUGACACACCUAGACAUGAUAUUGUCUAUGGAAUUUGGCAUUUGAGGCUAUUGGAGGCUUGGAAAGUCAUUUGGGCCUGCUUCAGGCUCCCUAUAGUUAACUUCUUCUUUUCCUUCUUUAUUUGUUUAUGUAAUUUGUUCAGCUGGUCUAUAAUAAUUAUUUGUAAACAAAUUUAAGGUAAUUAGUGAAAAAGGGUGGGUAGCUAUAUCUGUUGAGUAAUUUGGGUAAAUACCAUGCAUGCAGGAUUAUGUUAAUAUACUUGCUAUGUUUGCUUUACCACAUUAGAAACCAUGCCUAUAGGAUUUAAAAGGUUCCAUAUUAGAAACCGAGUCUAUACGAUUUAAAUGGAUUCAAUAAUAGAAACCAUGUCUAUAGGUUUAAAAUCAACUUCAUAAUUAGAUACCAUGUUCAUGGAGUAUAAAGUGAUUGAGUUCAAUUCCUGCUACUGCAUGUAUUUACAUUUGUCUCACUAAAAUCAUGCCUAUAAGUUCCAACAUCAGCUCUAACAAUUAGAUACCAUUCCUAUAGGAAUUAAAAUCAGUAAUUUUUCCUAUAGAAUAAAAUUCAAUUUAGUUACACAAGUCAGUCUAAUUCAUGUUAGUUCACUUUGAAAUUGGCUUAAUCUACUAUCUACUUAUUUAAUUGAGUUUUUAAAACACCGUCUUAAUUCACUACUGCUAGAAAGCAUGUAGGAUCUCAAAUGUCCGCUUAAAACUGUUCACCAUUUACUGCACCCACAUAGAUACCUUGCUCUUAGGACAUCACUGUUCUGUGUUAGGCAAGCCUAUAGGGCGAUUUUAAAUUCUGCAACUCUGAAACUGUAUUUUGCUACUUGAGCUGUCCCGAUUUAACAGGUUUAAAUCAGUAGGCAAGCUAAAUAGGAUUUCUCACAUAUUGUCCUAAUUCCACUGUAUAACCCCUGCUCACCUAGAUAUCAUGUUCUAGGAUUUUCUCUUAAGUAUUGGAAUAAUUGUUUGAAGACGUGCACUUACUUGCUAUGUUUGAGGAGGUAACUAUGAGCCUAUAAUUUGUUUCUUUAAAUGUAGUCCUAGCUGUUCUUGAUUGAAACCUAGAUUUUUAUCCUUUAAAACCUUAGGAAAGUUUAGAAAUGUCCAAAGAAUAGAGGUCCUAAAAUACCUCCAAGGCCACGAGGAAGGGACGGGUAGUGCAUAGGACAUUGUCAAGGUUACUAGAAUGCUUUAGGAUAUGACCAAAGGGAGGGAAUUGGGUAUAAAGGGAUAUGAUGACUACGCGCUAAUGUCAGGUGUAGCCCCUCAUUAAGGAGUGUUUACCGGGCAUUGUGUGGGGUGAUCCUGUAGGCUAACCAACCUACGACCCCUUAUCUCCAAUUCUCAAUGUUUAAACUUUACUCUUUUAUAUGCAACUUGCUCAAAUUCUUUGUCUUAUUGUUAUUUGAGUCAAAUAGUCUCCAUCAUGAUUUUAUUUACAAAUUGUGUGUCUCAACUUCUUGUUUGUUAAAGGACUAAUACAUAAGUAUAAGUUUAGCUGGGACCCGUUAUUGUGGACUGAGAGAGGUGCCUAACAUCUUCCCCUCAGGUUAUUUCGAGCCCUUACCCUAAAUCUCUGGUAAUGCAAACUAGUAUAAGAGUUAAUUACUCUAGGUGCCCUAAUGCACCAUAAUCUGUUAGGUGGCGACUCUUUAAAUACCCAAAUCCCAAAAGGAAAUGAGUUAUUACCCUCCAUGAACGUCGGAACCCGGACUUUCUCUGCGGAGGAAAAAAAGGGGCACGACACCCAUUUACUCUGAAAACUUUACCAUUUUUAUUCUUCAAAUCAAGAGCACCAAAUGGAGCUACAUGUACCACUUCAAAAGGGCCACUCUAUUUUAACUUGGGCUUUCCCGGAAACAGUCGUAAUCGAGAGUUGAAUAAGAGAACCAAGUCACCCUCCUUGAAUUCCUUGCUCCGGGCAUACUUGUCAUGUAUGUAAUUCAUCUUGUCUUUAUACAAGAAUGAGUUGGAAUAGGUAUGAAACCAAAACUCAUCUAGUUCAUUGAGCUGCUCUACCCAGAGAUUUGCUGUAACAUCCCACUCAAGAUUUAACCACUUCAAAGCCCACAUGGCCUUAUGCUCUAACGCCUUAUGCUCUAACUCAACCGGAAGAUGGCAUGCUUUCCCAAAUACCAACCGGUAUGGCGACAUACCAAUUGGAGUUUUAUAAGCAGUCCUGUAAGCCCACAAAGCAUCAUCCGGUUUCCUUGACCAAUCAGUCCUAUUUUCAUUGACGGUCUUUGACAAUAUGCUCUUUAUCUCCUUGUUGGAGACUUCAACUUGUCCACUAGCCUGAGGAUGAUAAGGGGUUGAUACCUUAUGAUUGACACCAUACAUUGCAACCAAAGUAUCAAAUGCCCUAUUACAGAAAUGAGAACCCCCAUCACUGAUGAUUCUCCGAGGAGUGCCAAACUGUGUGAAGAUAUUUUUUUAGAAGCGCCACCAUACUCUGGGCUUCGUUGUUGGGCAAAGCUACAGCCUCAACCCACUUGGAAACAUAAUCAACGGCCACCAGAAUUUAAGUGUUGCCAUACGAACUCACAAAAGGCCCUAUGAAGUCUAUGCCACACACGUCAAAAAUGUCAACCUCAAGAAUAGUGGUGAGAGGCAUUUCAUCCUUCUUGGAAAUUCCACCAGCUCUCUGAAACUCAUCACAUCUCUUGACAAGCUCACCAACCUCUUUAUACAGAGUAGGCAACCACAGCUAAGAACCUUUGAAGCAGUUCUUGCAUCACUAUGAUGACCACCGUAUGGCGAUGAAUAGCAAGCAUCAAGAAUAUUCAUUUGCUCCUCUUCUGGAACACAUCUUCGAAUCACACCAUCAUUACAAAUCUUGAAAAUAUAAGGCUCGUCCCAGUAAUAAUCAAAGAUGUCCCGUUUAAGCUUUUUCCUUUGGUUAGAAGAAAGCUCACCCGGAACAAUGUCGGUCACAAGAAAAUUAGCCACAUCAGCGAACCAAGGCAUACUAUUCAAAGACACUGAAAGGAGUUGUUCAUCCGGGAAUGCAUCAUUAUUUCAAGACCAUCUUUGGGUCUCCCCUCCUCUUCCAAGCGGGACAAGUGGUCCGCCACUUGAUUUUCAUUUCCUUUCUGAUCAACAAUCUCUAGGUCAAAUCCUUGAAGCAACAAAAUCCAUCUCAUCAAUCUAACUUUAAAGUCCUUUUUGGUCAUCAAGUAAUAGAGUGCCGCGUGAUCAGUAUGAACAAUCACUUUGGCACCUAUGAGAUAAGGCCUAAACUUUUUCAUUGCAAACACAAUUGCUAGCAACUCUUUCUCUGUCACCGUAUAAUUAACCUGGGCAUCAUUCAUAGUUUUGAUUGCAUAGUACAUCGGGUGAAACAUCUUGUUCAUCCUUUGCUCUAAGAUCAAUCCUACCGCAAUGUCACUAGCACCACGCAUGAGCUCAAAUGGCAAGCUCCAAUUGGGUGCGGUGAUGAUGGGAGUGGUAGUAAAUCUAUACUUGAGAAGCUUAAAAUCUUUCAUGCACUCAUCAUUAAACACAAAAUUUGCAUCCUUUUCUAACAAUUUGCACAAGGGAUUCAACACCUUGGAGAAGUCCUUGAUGAACCUUCGGUAGAACCCUGCAUGCCCAAGAAAGCUCCUCACUCAUUUGACGGAAGAAGGAGGAGGGAGCUUUGAAAUCACUUCAAUCUUCGCUUUGUCCACUUCGAUACCGUUCUUUGAGAUCUUAUGGCAGAGGAUAAUGCCCUUCUUGACCAUAAAGUGGCACUUUUUCCAAUUAAGUACUAGAUUUGUCUCUUUACAUCGGGCCAACACUUUAUCAAGACUACCCAAACAUUCUUCAAAAGAGUCACUCACAACACUAAAAUCAUCCAGGAACACUUCCAAGAAGUCCUCCACCAUGUCCGUAAAUAUAGCCAUUAUCAGACCUCCUUUUUACCCGAGGGGAUGGGGAUAUGGAAUUUUUCCAAUUGAAGUGACAUUAUUAGAAAUGAGAUUAUUUAUUUAAUCAGAGUCGCCACUUGGAAUAAUUUAUGGUGUCCUAAGUCACCGGUUUAUUUUAAAUCCCAAAUCAAGGAAAUUUGACUCUUAUUUAUGGUCUGCGAACACAGAAGACCGGGUAAAAAUUAUGUUAACGUUGGAGAAGGUAUUAGACAUUCCCGGAUUCCGUGGUUUUAGCACGGUCACUCAACUAUUAAUAAUUGGCCUAAUUAUCUGAUUUAAUACAUGUUUUAAACUUAUUGUGCAUUUUUAAUUUUAUAACUGCUUUUAUUUAUUUAAUCGCUUUUUAGGAUUUAUGGAAUUUAUUUGAACGAACCACGAUGUCGUGCACUCGUUGUUUUUGUACAUAUUACGAAUCGCGUCACAUGAAAUGCACCCGCAAUUUACAACAUAUUUAUUUUAAUUAUUGUUCGAAGUUAUCGUCGGGUCACAUGAAAUGCACACUCGAAUUGGGAUUUACGUAUCAUGACCAUGCCACGGGAACCAUACCCAUGGCCACGAUGAUUUAUUAUUAAUCGCGUCUAAAGCAACUAGUGCAUUUGAAUUAUCUUCCUAAUCUUUGAGAUUGUUGUGAAGGCCAUAAAUUAUGAAAAUCACUUUGUAGAUGAAAUAACAUUAUUACCUUUAUUAAUAUUAAGAGAGUCGUUUAUACUUUAGGGCUAUUAAAAGUCAUAACUUAAUAAAUUAUCAUAUUAUUUAUCUUACAAAAUAUCUAAUGUAGAACUACAUCCUCGUUAAUAUAAAUAAAAAAAACAAAUAAUGAUGCACAAAACAUGAAAAAUGCCAAGACACGAUUUAUGAAAUAUUGUUAAAAUGAAAAGUCAGUAAAAAAUAAUCUUAGGCUCUAAGGAGUAAAUUACAGAACACUAAUGGAGAUCAAAAUGCAAUAAGAGGACAUUAACCAGGCAAAACACAUGAUACGUUUAAAUCAACAAGCAAAACGAAAAGAAAAGUGAACCUUAUAGAGAGAAUGUUUUCUUCAAUACAAUCCAACACUUUUAUCCUGAAUCUUCAUACAAUGAUGAUUCGAAAUGAGCCUCGAACCAAAAACCAAGUCAGCCCCCUCGAUGUCGGCGAACUUAAUCUUUUGGAGCUGCUUUCCGCUAGGUUUGCAAUUGGAUUUAGAGUAGUUUUAAUGGAGUUCGAACAAGCAGUUUUGCGGCUAUUUCACGUUGCAACGCAGCUGGUUUUUGAGGUUGUUUCAUUGUAGCUUUGGGCUGGAAGAAAAGCUGUGUUCGGGUCAUUUUUGGGGUGGGUUUGAGCUCAUUUUUUGGGCUGAAAGGAGCUGUUUUUAGGUUUGGAUUUGAGCUGAUUUUUGCUUUGUUUUGUAGUUGUUUUCAGCUGGGUUUAAGGUAUUUUUGAAGCUAUUUUUGUAGCUGUGUUUUGGUGCAAAAAAAGGUGUUGUUUGGGGGGUGAGCUGCUGCGUUUUUGGCAGCAUUUUGGAGGUGAUUUAAUGGUGUUUUUGGGCGGUUUAAGGGCUGUUUUAGGUGCAGUUUUAGCUAAAAAGAAAGGUUGUUGGUUUUAGAUGUAUUUCAAUAGUGGUUUGAUGGAGGAAGUUGGCUGAUUUUAAUGGAAGAAGAUAACAUUUGGUAAGAAACGGGAAUUCUUAGGGGUGGUGCGGCUAGGUUAUGAGUCUUAGGUCCAAUUU